AUCGAUGUGGCAGAUGAAUUGUGUAGAGUUUAAGUCUCUUUUAUGUUUUACCUUCGAUU
rnacentral:tRNA from 1 species